AUGUCAUGGUAUGGACACUUGACCAACAUCCCCUUGAAUCUCUCCCACGUUUCUUGCAGCGUUUCAGCUGGUUUCUGCCUAAAGCUUAAUAUCUCAUCCACUUGCUU
rfam:Nicotiana sylvestris Nsyl_contig98095, whole genome shotgun sequence.